GGCAGUGUGGCACAGUGGUUAGAGUGUGGGACUAGGAACUGGGAGACCAGGGUUCGAAUCCCCACCCACAGGCCU